AAAAAGGUAAAAAAGAAAAAAUGCAGUUCUACCAAAGACUUGCUUUCUCGCAGGACCUCUCAGAUACGCUUCUGAAAGGAGAUUGUGUAUUCUUUCCCUAGCAGGAAGGAUCUCCUAUGUAACUGACUUAAAAUUUUUAUCUCAUUGAAUAUCAACAAUUCCAAGUCUCCUCUCCCUUAGAAUGAUUUGUCCUUGGGGGACUUUUUAGAUAAUCUGAUUCCCCCAUAUCUACCAACAGGCUGACAUGCAUGUUAGGAUCUUCACUACAGAUAAGUGCUUAUGUGUCUAGUUUCUAUUUAUUUUUAGUUAAUUUUCCAGCACAGUUCAACCACAGCAGAAAACAGGAAAAUGUCUGUCGUCUUGAGAGGGCCAAAAUAAAGAUGUGCUAUAUCUGUCAGUCUGUAUAUUUAUUUAUUAUACCUAUUUAUUUAUUUAGAUGGGAGGGUAGAGGUGUAAGGGAAAUACUCUGUAUGCUUAGACUGGAUGGAAAAAUUCGUGUUUGCGGCCCUGAAAAGCUCUAACUAUCAAACAGUUGUCCUGCUUUAAAGUGUUUAGGUUUAGUCAACUAAGUGAUCCAUACAAGGAGAUUAAGACUGAUUUUUGCAUGCUUGAUAGAGCUUUAAUGAAUGCCUGAUCAACUGCUACUUGACCAGUCCAUGUUAUAAGGUUUUUGUAUAGUUGGUUUUGAUUAUUAGAUUUUUUGUCUUUUUUCAUCAAAGAUGAAAGGAUGACUCACGAGGUUAAAGGUCCUGGGAAAAACAAACAAAAUACAUAUCUUCAAGUUAUGUAAGUGAAAUAUUUCAUGAAAAUAACACUGACAAAUGAUGAUAUAUAUCAUGUGUUUAUUCUAGGUCAUGCACUUUGAUAACCACAAUUAUAACUGCCAUUUUAUCUCCAUUUAGGAAAAUUAAAAAAAAAUAAGUUCAGAUAAAAUGAAACAAUUUACCAGAUAUUACAGGUC
rnacentral:lncRNA from 1 species